rnacentral:rRNA from 1 species
UGCAAGUCGAACGGUAACAGGGAGCUUGCUCCGCUGACGAGUGGCGAACGGGUGAGUAAUAUAUCGGAACGUACCCAAGAGUGGGGGAUAACGUAGCGAAAGUUACGCUAAUACCGCAUACGAUCCAGGGAUGAAAGCAGGGGACCUUCGGGCCUUGUGCUCCUGGAGCGGCCGAUAUCUGAUUAGCUAGUUGGUGAGGUAAAGGCUCACCAAGGCGACGAUCAGUAGCUGGUCUGAGAGGACGACCAGCUACACUGGAACUGAGACACGGUCCAGACUCCUACGGGAGGCAGCAGUGGGGAAUUUUGGACAAUGGGCGCAAGCCUGAUCCAGCAAUGCCGCGUGAGUGAAGAAGGCCUUCGGGUUGUAAAGCUCUUUUGUCAGGGAAGAAACGGCUGUGGCUAAUAUCCACGGCUAAUGACGGUACCUGAAGAAUAAGCACCGGCUAACUACGUGCCAGCAGCCGCGGUAAUACGUAGGGUGCAAGCGUUAAUCGGAAUUACUGGGCGUAAAGCGUGCGCAGGCGGUUUUGUAAGUCUGUCGUGAAAUCCCCGGGCUCAACCUGGGAAUUGCGAUGGAGACUGCAAGGCUAGAAUCUGGCAGAGGGGGGUAGAAUUCCACGUGUAGCAGUGAAAUGCGUAGAGAUGUGGAGGAACACCGAUGGCGAAGGCAGCCCCCUGGGUCAAGAUUGACGCUUAUGCACGAAAGCGUGGGGAGCAAACAGGAUUAGAUACCCUGGUAGUCCACGCCCUAAACGAUGUCUACUAGUUGUCGGGUUUUAAUUAACUUGGUAACGCAGCUAACGCGUGAAGUAGACCGCCUGGGGAGUACGGUCGCAAGAUUAAAACUCAAAGGAAUUGAC